UGGGGAAUUUUGGACAAUGGGCGAAAGCCUGAUCCAGCAAUGCCGCGUGUGUGAAGAAGGCCUUCGGGUUGUAAAGCACUUUUGUCCGGAAAGAAAUGGCUCUGGUUAAUACCUGGGGUCGAUGACGGUACCGGAAGAAUAAGGACCGGCUAACUACGUGCCAGCAGCCGCGGUAAUACGUAGGGUCCAAGCGUUAAUCGGAAUUACUGGGCGUAAAGCGUGCGCAGGCGGUUGUGCAAGACCGAUGUGAAAUCCCCGAGCUUAACUUGGGAAUUGCAUUGGUGACUGCACGGCUAGAGUGUGUCAGAGGGGGGUAGAAUUCCACGUGUAGCAGUGAAAUGCGUAGAGAUGUGGAGGAAUACCGAUGGCGAAGGCAGCCCCCUGGGAUAACACUGACGCUCAUGCACGAAAGCGUGGGGAGCAAACAGGAUUAGAUACCCUGGUAGUCCACGCCCUAAACGAUGUCAACUAGUUGUUGGGGAUUCAUUUCCUUAGUAACGUAGCUAACGCGUGAAGUUGACCGCCUGGGGAGUACGGUCGCAAGAUUAAAAGCUCAAAUGAAUUGACGGGGUCAUAGCUGUUU
rnacentral:rRNA from 1 species